CGUAGGGUGCAGGCGUUAAUCGGAAUUACUGGGCGUAAAGCGUGCGCAGGCGGUCUGCUAAGAGAGAUGUGAAAUCCCCGGGCUUAACCUGGGAACUGCGUUUCGUAACUGGCAGGCUUGAGUGUGGCAGAGGGGGUGGAAUUCCACGUGUAGCAGUGAAAUGCGUAGAGAUGUGGAGGAACACCGAUGGCGAAGGCAGCCCCCUGGGCUAACACUGACGCUCAUGCACGAAAGCGUGGGGAGCAAACAGGAUUAGAUACCCUGGUAGUCCACGCCCUAAACUAUGUCAACUGGUUGUCGGGGAAGCAAUUCCUUGGUAACGAAGCUAACGCGUGGAAGUUGACCGCCUGGGGAGUACGGCCGCAAGGUUAA
rnacentral:rRNA from 1 species